AACGAACGCUGGCGGCAUGCCUAACACAUGCAAGUCGAACGAGACCUUCGGGUCUAGUGGCGCACGGGUGCGUAACGCGUGGGAAUCUGCCCUUCGGUUGGGAAUAACUGAGAGAAAUUUCAGCUAAUACCUUAUAAUGUCUUCGGACCAAAGAUUUAUCGCCGAGGGAUGAGCCCGCGUAGGAUUAGGUAGUUGGUGGGGUAAUGGCCUACCAAGCCGACGAUCCUUAGCUGGUCUGAGAGGAUGAUCAGCCACACUGGGACUGAGACACGGCCCAGACUCCUACGGGAGGCAGCAGGGGGGAAUAUUGGACAAUGGGCGAAAGCCUGACCCAGCAAUGCCGGGUGAGUGAUGAAGGCCUUAGGGUUGUAAAGCUCUUUUACCCGGGAUGAUAAUGACAGUCCCGGGAGAAUAAGCCCCGGCUAACCCCGU
rnacentral:rRNA from 1 species